AUGUAAGAGUGAUCUUGUCACCCCACUGAUUGCCAGAGUUGAUUCUGCAGAUCUGGCUGGCUAAGUGGGUAUACUCUUGCUCCCUCACCGAU
rnacentral:sRNA from 1 species